AGGGUUGUGGCUCAGUGGUAGAGCACUCACCUAGCAUGUGAGAGGCUCUGCAUUCUAUUCUCAGCAUCACAU
rfam:Ictidomys tridecemlineatus contig121421, whole genome shotgun sequence.